rnacentral:rRNA from 1 species
AUUGAACGCUGGCGGCAUGCUUUACACAUGCAAGUCGAACGGCAGCACGGACUUCGGUCUGGUGGCGAGUGGCGAACGGGUGAGUAAUACAUCGGAACGUGCCCAGUUGUGGGGGAUGACUACUCGAAAGAGUAGCUAAUACCGCAUGAGAACUGAGGUUGAAAGCAGGGGAUCGUAAGACCUUGCGCAACUGGAGCGGCCGAUGGCAGAUUAGGUAGUUGGUGGGAUAAAAGCUUACCAAGCCGACGAUCUGUAGCUGGUCUGAGAGGACGAUCAGCCACACUGGGACUGAGACACGGCCCAGACUCCUACGGGAGGCAGCAGUGGGGAAUUUUGGACAAUGGGCGCGAGCCUGAUCCAGCAAUGCCGCGUGCAGGAUGAAGGCCUUCGGGUUGUAAACUGCUUUUGUACGGAACGAAAAGCCCUGGGUUAAUACCCUGGGGUCAUGACGGUACCGUAAGAAUAAGCACCGGCUAACUACGUGCCAGCAGCCGCAGUAAGAC